rnacentral:rRNA from 1 species
AGGUGCGAUCAUACCAGCGUUAAUGCACCAGAUCCCAUCAAAACUUCGCAGUUAAGCGCGCUUGGGCUAGAGUAGUAUUGGAAUGGGUGACCUCUCGGAAAGUCCUAGUGUUGCACCCU